AACGCAUGGUGUGGACACCUCCUCGUUAGUUCCUUGUAUCUCUCCCAAGCCUCAUAUAGAGAUUUGGACUCUUCCUAUAGAAACAAUGUGAUAUCAUUUCUUAUCUU